rnacentral:rRNA from 1 species
UACAGAGGUCCCGAGCGUUGUUCGGAUUCAUUGGGCGUAAAGGGUGCGUAGGCGGCGGGGUAAGUUUGAUGUGAAAUUCCGGGGCUCAACCCUGGCAUGGCAUUGAAUACUACCUUGCUAGAGUACCGGAGAGGAAACUGGAAUUUACGGUGUAGCAGUGAAAUGCGUAGAGAUCGUAAGGAAGACCAGUGGCGAAGGCGGGUUUCUGGACGGUAACUGACGCUGAGGCACGAAGGCCAGGGGAGCAAACGGG